ensembl:lncRNA
UUUUUUUUUUUUUUUUGGUGAGGAAGAUCAACCCUGAACUAACACCUGUGCCAAUCUUCCUUUAUUUUUUAUAUGUCGGAUGCCGCCACAGCACUGCUUGAUGAGUGUUGUGUAGGUCCACGCCCAGGAUCUGAACCUGCAAGACCCAGGCUGCCAAAGCAGAGUGCACAUACAACUAUACCACUGGGCCAGCCCCUAAUCAACAUUUUUUAAAGUAGUUAUUAUAUUUUCAGAUUUGUAAAAUCUAUCUGUAGAUUUAUAUUUGAAAAACUAGGAUGAUAGUGCAUUAAUGCCUUAUGGCUGAUCUGUUAAAUGAAAUGUUAUUAUCCAUGCAACAUGAAAGUUGAAUUUCACUACCUCAAAAAUCCCUACCAUCUGGGUUUGAUUUUUCAGGCUAAAACUCAAAAUUUAAGCAUUUUAACCAAAUCACCAUCUAAAUCUUUAUUUUAGUCUCCAAAUGCUUUUGUGGCUAGUGUGAAGAUGAAUGGAAUUUGAAAGUGGCCAUUAAGAUUACGAUUGCAUGAUGGAAACUAGAGUCUACUAUAUAAAUCUAAGUCCUUCCAUAAAUUUUAAAGAAGAUUUACUGCUCAAAAAUAAAAAUAUAAAUCAUCCUCAUUUUCUAAAUCAUUGCCGCUGAUGAUCAUACUCAGCGUGGUGAGAGAUCACUAUAUUAUUCUGGAUAUAGCACUACAUCUAAAUUUUCCAAGUAGUCUCAACGGCCCAGGGGAUUUACUACUUCAUGUACUUGCCAAGAUAGAAGGUGUUUCCGCAUAAUUCCUGUAGCUGAACAUUACUGAUGCUCAAAAUGCACGGAACGUUUAAUAUGUAUAGCAAGUCCAACGUGAUUAGUUAUUGACAUGAAUUAUGAUUUUUACACCAAAUCAUUGAAGGCCCAAUUAGAAAAUUGACCAGUUUCAAGGAGUCUGUCUCCUUAAUCUCUCCUAUUUACAGUACUCGAUUUGGCAGUAGGGGCAAUUCACAAACGGGUCAGAUAGUGGUGGGACUUAGGGCCAGACUAAAGCCCUUGAACCCUUACAGAUAACAGAGGACCACUUAAGGUUUCUUUGAACAGAGUGAGUGACAUGAUCAAAGCAGUGUUUGGGGAAGGUUAAUUUGGCGGCAGUGUGUAGACUGUUCUCCAUCAUGUGGUGACAGGAAAAUGGCUGUGUGGACAGAAAACAGCAAAUUAACUCAUGUCAGCAUAUGAAGAACAAACCAAGUUCAACAGCUUUCAAUCCAGACCCACACUCAGGUCCAUUAUCCUGAAUGCUCUGAUCUCUUUCAAGUCAUAGCUUUAAAACCCUGGAUCAUUACUGACUGAAGGACUUUGCGGACUGUACUUGGAGGUCUGGGGAGAAAGAGAGGAGGAAGGAAACCUGAGAAGCUGUGAUGCAGUGAGAGGAACACCUCGUGUGUCACAAGAAUUGGCUGGAAGAGGACCAGUGAGCCACUGUAAGUCUAACUCGGUUGAUGACCUUUUCAUGGGUCCUGGGAUUAUUUCUGACUUCCCGUUGUUUCCCUGAGCUGCUCCGUUCCUCUCCAGAUUAAUUCUUUUCUUCUGCAGCAGAUGCCCAGCCACCAAGGAGUUUUGAUUGCUUUAUACACUGGUGCAUUCUGGGGAGGUUCCUACUCUAGCGCUGAGUGAGUGGGCAGGCAUUUCUCAAAUAACACACUACCUGUAUCUCAAAACAUCAGAGCAGCCUUCUCCUAGCAUGCCAAUGCAAAACAGUUGACAAAUCCCUCAUCCAAAAUCUUUUUCUAGCCAGUUUGGAUGAUAAUGUUUCGUUGUUGCAUUGUUUCAGGAAAUUUGCCAGAAUUGGGAACUGCUUUCACAUUAAAAAUCCCUGAUUUUGUUA